GAUGUACAUGGCCAUUUAGAAUAGGGCAGUAUGGCACAAACCAGUAUUCCAUAGAUGUUGUUGACAACCCCUCAUCUCACCUUUCAGUCUGCAAAAUAAGAGGCAAUCGAGCUUGAGAAAGAGAUGGACUUUAGGCCAUCGGCGGUCACUAUGGCGAAUUUGCUCAAGAGCUGGCCAACCCUGGGUACGACAAAUUCAACAAUCAGCACUCCGUAUAAAAUAGUCUGAAGAGGCUUAUCUCUCUACAGGAAUUGAGUAAGGAGACAGUCAUACCAUACACUUUGUAGAGUUCUACGAUUCUGCUGUCCAACUUGACGGCAGGCCGUCCUUCUG
rnacentral:lncRNA from 1 species